UACGGGGGGGGGCAAGCGUUGUUCGGAAUUACUGGGCGUAAAGGGCUCGUAGGCGGCUUUGUAAGUUAGAGGUGAAAGCCCGGAGCUCAACUCCGGAACUGCCUUUAAAACUGCAGUGCUAGAAUCUUGGAGAGGCGAGUGGAAUUCCGAGUGUAGAGGUGAAAUUCGUAGAUAUUCGGAAGAACACCAGUGGCGAAGGCGACUCGCUGGACAAGUAUUGACGCUGAGGUGCGAAAGCGUGGGGAGCAAACAGG
rnacentral:rRNA from 1 species